AAUGGGGGAACCCAACAUCUUUAAUAGGAUGUUACGAUUGUGUGAAUACAUAGCACAUUCGAGGUAGACGCAGAGAACUGAAACAUCUAAGUACCUGCAGGAAGAGAAAGAAAAUUCGAUUCCCUGAGUAGCGGCGAGCGAAACGGGAAAAGCCCAAACCAGCAAGCUUGCUUGUUGGGGUUGUAGGACUCCAAUAUGGUAGUUCUUUCAGAUAGUCGAAUGACUUGGAAAAGUCAGUCAAAGAGGGUAAAAACCCCGUAGACGAAAUGUGGAAGACACCUAGGAGGAUCCUGAGUACGGCGGAACACGAGAAAUUCCGUCGGAAUCCGGGAGGACCAUCUCCCAAGGCUAAAUACUCCCUAGUGACCGAUAGUGAACCAGUACCGUGAGGGAAAGGUGAAAAGCACCCCGGAAGGGGAGUGAAAUAGAACCUGAAACCGUGUGCCUACAACAAGUCAAAGCCCGUUAAUGGGUGAUGGCGUGCCUUUUGUAGAAUGAACCGGCGAGUUACGAUUGCAUGCGAGGUUAAGUUGAAGAGACGGAGCCGCAGCGAAAGCGAGUCUGAAUAGGGCGUUUGAGUAUGUAGUCGUAGACCCGAAACCAUGUGAUCUACCCAUGUCCAGGUUGAAGGUGCGGUAAAACGCACUGGAGGACCGAACCCACGUACGUUGAAAAGUGCGGGGAUGAGGUGUGGGUAGCGGAGAAAUUCCAAACGAACUUGGAGAUAGCUGGUUCUCUCCGAAAUAGCUUUAGGGCUAGCCUCGGAAUU
rnacentral:rRNA from 1 species